rnacentral:piRNA from 1 species
UCUGAUACCGAGAAUGACAAUGGUUGA